GGUACCACACACAGACAACCUUUCCUCAGCCUCCAUUAAAUAUUACAAAAGGAACGAUAAGUGUCUUUUCACAGCCAUUUAAUAAGGAAGAUUAAUUUCACUUCCAAGAAAACCAAGAUGUGUAAUUUAUACCAACUGAGGUGCCUUUUGUAUGCCGGAAAUAAAGUUCUACCCAUACAACCUUCCCUAAACCUCUAUUUAAGUAUUACAAAAGGAACAGUAUGACUCGGUUCAAAGGUAUUUAAUAAGGGAGAUUAACUGACAUAGCAAGAAAACCAAGAGGUGUAAUUUGUACCAACUAACCGAAACUGACCUCUCUUUUUGGCCACUCCUCUGUACUCUAUUCACCCGGUAGCAGCGGCGGGCCAAAUUUGUGGCUUUACCGUGUAGCAGCGACGGGCCAAAUUUGUGCCAUGAUUUAAACCCCCCAAAAUAGAUGAUACAUAAUCUGAUCACAAAUGCUUAGAUAUAUAUUAUGAAAUGGUUUGUGAGAGGCGUGAUUUUUUCUCAUUUUUUCCCGCUUGGAGGGACCAUUAAGAAACAUGAUCCCCGCUGCUACCAGGUUCAAGAGCAGUGAGUAGCGGGCUUUUUUUUCAUUACUGUUUUUUUUACGCCCUUGAACUGUCUCCUUUGCUGUAAAAUAAAUAAAUAAAUUAAUAAAAAAGGUACUAUAUAUACCUCUCCUAAACGUCCAUCAAGUAUUACAAAGGGAACAAUAUACGAUUCAUUUCACAGCCGUUUAAUAAGGAAGAUCUAUUACCCUACCAAGAAAACCUUCCAUUACCAUCCCAUUAAUCAGUAAAACGAAUGGUAAUGGUAAUUGUUACUCUCCUCGACCUCCCUUCUAAGCAACUACCCAUGUGAAUCAGGUGGCUUCUUACUCUCACUUUCCUUCUUGAGUUUGGGAGCGGAGUACUCAAGGUUGUUUUCUUAUACUGAAGGUUAUUUUCUUUUUAUUUCGGUCUCCCCUCUAACUACCCCAAAGCAAAAACGAUAAAGAAAACGGGGUAACAGGGAGUGUGAAUAACGGGGUAGUAAGAACACGAGAGAAUGAAAUGAUUGAGAACCAAAAAGUUAAGGACACGCCAAAUGUAACAAUGUGUGUGUGUGUGUGUGUGUGUGUGUGUGUGUGUGUGUGUGAGAGAGUGCGACUUUUUGCAGCUCUCACGUGCACAUCACCCACCUGUCACCCAAGGCCCCAACACACACACACACACACACACACACACACACACACACACACACACACACGAUGGGCAACCUUGCGUGUCCAACGAAAUUAAUAUGUUACAGGAACCACCACCACCACCACCCCAUCACCACCACCACCAAUUUCGCAUCACCUUACCACCACCACAAUACAUCCCUCCGCAACACCACUAUUUCACCUGCCACAAGCAUCACCCUUACUUCAUCACCACCGAUAUCACCACUAAUUUACCACUCUCAUUACUAGCAUCCGCCAUCACGUCUGUCACUGCUGCGUCCCCUUCACCCUUCACCCUGUAAUACCUUCAUGACAGAACCUCAAUUACUGUGUUAGGGGUUCAUUUGGCUGCCAAGAUCCAUAGUCCCUCGGAGAUACCACAAGGCGUAUGUACUUUUCAGGGUAUAAUGAUCAAUAGUUUGCACGAUAGAGAAGGAAACAUUAAGGGAAGGAAUUGAAAUGAUAAGAGAGGAAAGGUGCAGAAAAGAAAGAUGAGAAAAAUAAUUAGUGAAAAGAAGGAGAAUAAAAUAAUAAGGGAAAGGAAAGUAAGUGAAUGAAGACGGAAAGAAAAGACAGAAAAAAAGAGCAAGAAACUAUAAGAAAAGGGAAAGAAAGGAAAAUAAAGGGUAGAGGAAAGAAAAGGAGAGAGGAAUAGAAAAAAAAGCAGAGGAUGGGAGUAAUGAAGGAAGAGAAUGAGAAGUAGCAGAAAGAUUAGAGGAGGAGGACGACUAGGACGAGGACGAGGAGACGAAGAAUAAGACUGGAAGGAGGAUUCAAUACCACAAACAAUAUGAGAUGUCCACAAAACUGAUACAAGAUAAAUGCAUUUACAAGAGGAUCCUGUUACGUAUUUUUUACAAUAACACAAAACCACAAAAGGAGGUCGACACAUUGCCUGCGAAUCAGAAAUAAAAGAGAAAAUAAGAAAAUGAGAAUAACGUAAAAAUAAGAAGUUGGAGAAUAAAGGAAAAAGGAAUGAAAGGAAAUUUGAUCGACAGGGCCGCUUAUUAAGAAAAUCAAUACCCUCAUGAAGGUCAAGGCGCCGUGAUUACAGAUUCUAACCUUGAAAAAGAAGAAGGUGAUGAAAUAUAUGAAGCAAAAGGCAAAGGAAAUUAUACACCAACGGAAGGUAUAGAUUUAAACUAUUUUUUCUCUUUUAAGAUCCAGAAAAAAAAUAAUAAUGAAGAGAAAGAUUAAAAUUUUAUGCAGCUUUAAUUUUCUAUCUCCUAUGAAAUGGAAAAAAAAAAAUCAUGAAAAGAAAGAUUGAGUAUCCCUUAUCAGUUUUCCUUCUAUAACAUAAGAAAAAUAAAGAUAAAGCGUAAGUGGGAAGAUUAAACCAAAGUAUGCCUGUUCAGUUUCCUUUCUUCUUUUAACCCCAAAAAUAAUCAUGAGAAAGAAGCAUUUAAAAAGUAUGUAAUUUCAACUUUCCUUCUAAACCAAAAGAACGAAGUGAGAGAGGAGAGAUUAAAACAAAGUAUGCCUGUUUAGCUUUUUUCUUUCUUUUAACACCCCAAAAAUAAUCAUGAGAAAGAAGCAUUUAAAAAGUAUAUAAUUUCAACUUUCUUUCUAUAACCAAAAGAACUUGAAGUGAGAGAGGAGAGAUUAAAACAAAGUAUGCCUGUUUAGCUUUUUUCUUUCUUUUAACCCCCCAAAAAUAAUCAUGAGAAAGAAGCAUUUAAAAAGUUUGCCAUUUCACCUUUCUUUCUAUAACCAAAAGAACUUGAAGUGAGAGAGGAGAGAUUAAAACAAAGUAUGCCUGUUCAGUUUUCUUCUUCAUUUAACCAAAGAUUUUAAUUAUGAAAAGAAAAAUGUAAAAAGUGUGGUUUCAACUUUUCUUCCCCUGACCAGUGACCAACCCAACAUUCCUGCCGUGUGUAGUGACCGGAAAGAACAGGAGGGUGGAAUGAGCAGACAAGAAAUAAUGAAAAUAGUAGUACAAGAAAAUUCCCCCUUUUUUUUCCUUCAGUAACAGGUAUACCUUUUCCUUCACAGGUAGGCAGGCGGUAGAGAGUCGAAUGAACAGACCAGAACCGGCGUCAUGUUCCCCGCCGCGGACGCAGAAACAACUGGCUGGAUCUUGUUCGUUUCCAAGCGAGGGAAAUUUUGCGUCUCACGGUGAAAGCAACAAAGCACGAAACUACGCCGAGCAGGAAUGAAAUACAGGACGAUCAAGAUGUCUAAACAGAACCCUGCGCAUGGAUGUGACCUAUUAACACACACACAGAGAAAGGGUAAAAGUUGGAAAGUUUUGUUUAGUCGGCGUAACAUCUGUGGUCAUAUUCCGGAGAGAGGCAGGAGGGGGAAGGAAUUAUAGGAGAAGAGAACAGAUCCCAGGAGACGGAGAGAAAGGGGGAAGUGAAUGGGGGUAUGGAAGGAAGGAGUGUGCGAAGGAAGGAAGGAAGGAAGGAAAUUAUGGGCACACACACACACACACACACUGCUCCCAUAGCUUAGUGGAUUAAGGUCGUCAGGGUCCGGUCUAGCAGGAUGAGAUUCGAGUCCCGCUCAUGACAAGAUUUUUCCGUUGACAAGGAGCGAUUACUGUCCCACCAUGAGCAAGGGAGGUGGAGGGUGUGCUGUGUGAAGGUCCCGGCAGUACCCAGAGAGCGAUUAUAAUGAGCUUGCUCUCAUCGGGAGGGUACUUGCUGGCGAUGACAAGUCCAGCUUGUGAAGUUGUGAUCAAACCUUGGUGAACACACACACACACACACACACACACACACACACACACACACACACACACACACACACACACUGUAUCUUAAUUUUAUCCCAACCUUGUUUUUCUUCCUCUCCUUUCCUCUUUUUUUUUUGUUUGAUACUGUUUAAUACUCGCAAAACUCAUUAAACUUUUUAUUAUUAUUAUUACUAUUAUUAUUAUUUACUCUACACUCCCCCUCCCCCUCUCCUACACUUCCUAAUCCCACCUUUACCUUCGCCCCAGCCCGCCAAGUGACGUAAACGAACCUCCAAAACUUGCUUACCCUUUUACUUUAUUAUCAUUUACACUACACUCCCUCUCCCCCCGUCUCCUACACCCCCAAAUCCCGCCUUUACCUUCGCCUCGGCCCGCCAGGGAACGUAAAGGAACCUCCAAACUUAAUGAAGCACGUGUCGCGAAGGUGCUUGCUCUCCUUACCUGUCCUAACACACCUGAGCGCUGCUAAUUACGUCACAAGGUUGGAUCGCGCCCUUCGACCUUUCUCUCUCUCUCUCUCUCUCUCUCUCUCUCGAUGGAUAGGUAAAUACUCUUCUGGAUUUUUGUUUGAUUAGUCUUUUCUUUUUUCUUUUUUUCUUGUUUCAGUCUUUGUCUUUCGGUCACGUUCUUAAGAAAUCUCUGAUGCUAAGCGGAUGUGUUCAAGAUUUUUUUUUUUUUUUGGAUGGGGAGGGGCAUUUUGUGAAGUGUGUGGUCUCUCUCUCUCUCUCUCUCUCUCUCUCUCUCUCUCUCUCUCUCUCUCUCUCUCUCUCUCUCUCUCUCUCUCUCUCUCUCUCUCUCUCUCACGUACCCAUAAAUCAGUCUAAUGAGCUUCGAACUCCUUCCUGUUGAGCAUGAGUUCGGGACGUGUUCAGACAGUGGGUGAGACGUACGCUACCUUUUUUUUUUUUACCCUUCAAGUUUCCGGUGAAGGAUGGAGGAAGUAGAGAUAUGCAACUGAUGGCAAGGAAUGGAGUCAGGGCUGGAGGGAGGAAUGAAGGUUAGGGAGGGAGAGAGAGAAAGAAGGAAGGAGGGUAAAAAGAUAGGAAGGAGACUCACUUUCACACACUUAGAAGGAUAAAUAAAAAAAGGAAGGAA